GGAAUGGAAAUGAAAUGAAAGUGGCGAACGGGUGAGUAACACGUGAGCAACCUACCUUACACAGGGGGAUAGCCGUUGGAAACGACGAUUAAUACCGCAUGAGACCACAGAAUCGCAUGAUAUAGGGGUCAAAGAUUUAUCGGUGUAAGAAGGGCUCGCGUCUGAUUAGCUAGUUGGAAGGGUAAAGGCCUACCAAGGCGACGAUCAGUAGCCGGUCUGAGAGGAUGAACGGCCACAUUGGAACUGA
rnacentral:rRNA from 1 species